CCGGCGGGCCGCUACUGGCGUUCAGGUGGAGCACCACCGGGGACCGGCCCGCCGGAGUACCGGCUGAGCCGCGCGCCUGGGCACGACGA
rnacentral:ncRNA from 2 species